UAGUGGAGGGGACAGCUUGAGGUGACUCAGCAGGGACAGUUUGUUCACUCCAGCAGGCUGGCUUUGGGAUGGACUGGGCUGGGCUGGGCUGUGCUGGCCGGCGGGCAGUGGGGAUGGCGAGUUAGGGCCUGUAGGGGGAUAGGCAAGAGAAUCCCUGGCCUUCAUCCGUGGGCAAAGCCAAGCCACCUGAGGGUCCUGGGCCAUAAUAGGUCAACAGUGCAGCCCCAAGGAGAUGUUCCCGCAGCUCCACAUCGAGGGCGCCACUUGCUGCAGGAAUAAGAAACAGAAUAUUUAUCAUCAUCUCCCAGCAACAGCACCAACACCUGAAUAAAGAACUCGUCAGUUUUUCCUGCUCAGCGGCUGGUUUAUCUUAAACUGUCGAAGUUGAUAGCCCAAUCCACUUUUUGAUGUAACUAUGAUGGUUUUAGGAGAUUUAGACAUGAUUUUUUAUAGC